rnacentral:rRNA from 1 species
GACGGAGGAUGCAAGUGUUAUCCGGAAUCACUGGGCGUAAAGCGUCUGUAGGUGGUCAAAUAAGUCAACUGUUAAAUCUUGAGGCUCAACCUCAAAAUCGCAGUCGAAACUAUUAGACUAGAGUAUAGUAGGGGUAAAGGGAAUUUCCAGUGGAGCGGUGAAAUGCGUAGAGAUUGGAAAGAACACCGAUGGCGAAGGCAGUUUACUGGGCUAUUACUGACACUGAGAGACGAAAGCUAGGGUAGCAAAUGGG